UACGUAGGGUGCAAGCGUUAAUCGGAAUUACUGGGCGUAAAGCGUGCGCAGGCGGUUUUGUAAGUCUGUCGUGAAAUCCCCCGGGCUCAACCUGGGAAUUGCGAUGGAGACUGCAAGGCUAGAAUCUGGCAGAGGGGGGGUAGAAUUCCACGUGUAGCAGUGAAAUGCGUAGAGAUGUGGAGGAACACCGAUGGCGAAGGCAGCCCCCUGGGUCAAGAUUGACGCUCAUGCACGAAAGCGUGGGGGAGCAAAC
rnacentral:rRNA from 1 species